CUCUCCCUGUCAAGGACAUGGAAGGUUACCAUACAGAUCAUCUUGCUUUGGGUCUCAUUUCUAGUGGGAGUAGCUAUUCUUGCUUUUGUUUCAACAUGAAUCUGGCAGGAUCAUUUGUUCCAAUGUGAAGGGCAACUAGGUCAAACCAGUCUCCUUGUUAAAAUUUGGUGGUUCUCAGCCUGUUGUGGUCAAAACGAGCAGGUGAGCUGCAACACUCAAUUGAAACUUGUCUUCCAGUCCCCUGUAUGGAGACCACGAGCACUGCUGAGUAAGAGAGCAAGAGGCAUCCAUUUAAUCUAAAUGAUCAAGUAGCUGCUCCUUCCUCAUCAAGGAUUUAACUUCAUAUACUGUUGCUGCCUGAAUCAUUUAUGAAGAGAACCACAAUCCUUUUGAGGAUACGGCUGAAU